UAAACAAUCACAGUGAUUGAUUGGGUA
rnacentral:piRNA from 1 species